rnacentral:lncRNA from 1 species
CUAAGAAUUCUCUCACCUGCCUUCUGCCCUUAAGCUCCGGUAGAUUGCAAAUAACCUGCUUUCUUUCUGUUCCCGAGCUGCGUUCGGACCCGUCGGAUCGUAAAUCCCACGUAAGGUCGGAAGAUUUGAACUUUCUACUUGGACACCUAACACCCACAGUCCUCCAGACAGAAAGACAACAGGUACAAAGCCCUAAGGAUUAUAAAGGUAUGCUGCUUACCAUCAUCUUAGUGACCAAGGCAGCGAAGCUGUUUCUGUACCUUGGAACAGUCUUCCCUGACAAGCCAGAGAACAGUGAUAAAGCCACCAGCCUUGGGAUCAGGACUGAAAAGGCAAGAGUGAUGGAGAUUUCUCCUGCGCUAAGCCAAGAGAAGGUUUCAGCACUUCAGACAGCUCCCACCGAAGUAGCCGCGCUCCCAGCUGCUUGCAGAUGUUGAAAAGGAAAGCCUCGGUUUGUCUUGAGGUUGUCAGCAGGUGCAAGACACGUAAUAAAAUGCAAUGUGUUCCUAAUUCAUUGCAUAUCC